UGAAAGUGAUUGGAUUAGAUUGGAUAAAAUUAUUAUUUUUUUUUACAUAUUGGUCUGCUAUUUUUCUUGGCACUAGAUUAGUUUACGUGCAAUUUGCUUAGCUUAAACGAAUAGGAAGUGGAUUAUUGAGAAAAUAACAUAUAUAGCAGAUAGGAGGAUCACAGUUCAGUCCAAGACAAAAGCUCAAACAUAGUUUGGAAUCUUGAGCAUAUAGCAAGGUAUUGAAAGACUACCGUACGAGACCGCUUUCCGGACGUAACGGACUAGACGAAGACACUAAACGUGAGUAACUA